AACGAACGCUGGCGGCAUGCCUAACACAUGCAAGUCGAACGAGACCGUCGGGUCUAGUGGCGCACGGGUGCGUAACGCGUGGGAACCUGCCCUUAGGUUCGGAAUAACUCCCCGAAAGGUGUGCUAAUACCGGUUAAUGUCUUCGGACCAAAGAGUUCUCGCCUUUGGAUGGGCGCGCGUUGGAUUAGCUAGUUGGUAGUGUAAUAGCCUACCAAGGCGACGAUCCAGAGCUGGUCUGAGACGAUGAUCAGCCACACUGGGACUGAGACACGGCCCAGACUGCUACGGGAGGGAGCAGUGGAGAAUAUUGGACACUGGACGAAAGCCUGAUCCAGCCGUGCGGCGUGAGUGAUGAAGGCCUUAGGGUUGUAAAGCUCUUUUACACGGGAUGAUAAUGACAGUACCGGGUGAAUAAGCUCCGGCUAACUCCGUG
rnacentral:rRNA from 1 species